AUCCGAAAGGUGCGAGCGUUGUUCGGAUUUACUGGGCGUAAAGCGAGUGUAGGUGGUUUGUUAAGUCGGAUGUGAAAUCCCGGGGCUCAACCUCGGAACUGCAUUCGAUACUGGCAGGCUAGAGUUCGGGAGGGGUAAGCGGAAUUCCGUGUGUAGCAGUGAAAUGCGUAGAUAUACGGAGGAACACCUGAGGCGAAGGCGGCUUACUGGACCGAUACUGACACUGAGACUCGAAAGCGUGGGUAGCAAACAGGAUUAGAUACCCUAGUAGUCC
rnacentral:rRNA from 1 species